AGAGUUUGAUCCUGGCUCAGGACGAACGCUGGCGGCGCGCCUAACACAUGCAAGUCGAACGAGCGAGAGAGAGCUUGCUUUCUCGAGCGAGUGGCGAACGGGUGAGUAACGCGUGAGGAACCUGCCUCAAAGAGGGGGACAACAGUUGGAAACGACUGCUAAUACCGCAUAAGCCCACGGUGCCGCAUGGCACAGAGGGAAAAGGAGCAAUCCGCUUUGAGAUGGCCUCGCGUCCGAUUAGCUAGUUGGUGAGGUAACGGCCCACCAAGGCGGCGAUCGGUAGCCGGACUGAGAGGUUGAACGGCCACAUUGGGACUGAGACACGGCCCAGACUCCUACGGGAGGCAGCAGUGGGGAAUAUUGCACAAUGGGGGAAACCCUGAUGCAGCGACGCCGCGUGGAGGAAGAAGGUCUUCGGAUUGUAAACUCCUGUUGUUGGGGAAGAUAAUGACGGUACCCAACAAGGAAGUGACGGCUAACUACGUGCCAGCAGCCGCGGUAAAACGUAGGUCACAAGCGUUGUCCGGAAUUACUGGGUGUAAAGGGAGCGCAGGCGGGAAGACAAGUUGGAAGUGAAAUCUAUGGGCUCAACCCAUAAACUGCUUUCAAAACCGUUUUUCUUGAGUAGUGCAGAGGUAGGCGGAAUUCCCGGUGUAGCGGUGGAAUGCGUAGAUAUCGGGAGGAACACCAGUGGCGAAGGCGGCCUACUGGGCACCAACUGACGCUGAGGCUCGAAAGUGUGGGUAGCAAACAGGAUUAGAUACCCUGGUAGUCCACACCGUAAACGAUGAUUACUAGGUGUUGGAGGAUUGACCCCUUCAGUGCCGCAGUUAACACAAUAAGUAAUCCACCUGGGGAGUACGACCGCAAGGUUGAAACUCAAAGGAAUUGACGGGGGCCCGCACAAGCAGUGGAGUAUGUGGUUUAAUUCGACGCAACGCGAAGAACCUUACCAAGUCUUGACAUCCCUUGACAGGCAUAGAAAUAUGUUUUCUCUUCGGAGCAAGGAGACAGGUGGUGCAUGGUUGUCGUCAGCUCGUGUCGUGAGAUGUUGGGUUAAGUCCCGCAACGAGCGCAACCCUUAUGGUUAGUUACUACGCAAGAGGACUCUGGCCAGACUGCCGUUGACAAAACGGAGGAAGGUGGGGAUGACGUCAAAUCAUCAUGCCCUUUAUGACUUGGGCUACACACGUACUACAAUGGCGUUAAACAAAGAGAAGCGAGACCGCGAGGUGGAGCAAAACUCAGAAACAACGUCCCAGUUCGGACUGCAGGCUGCAACUCGCCUGCACGAAGUCGGAAUUGCUAGUAAUCGUGGAUCAGCAUGCCACGGUGAAUACGUUCCCGGGCCUUGUACACACCGCCCGUCACACCAUGAGAGCCGGGGGGACCCGAAGUCGGUAGUCUAACCGC
rnacentral:rRNA from 1 species